rnacentral:rRNA from 1 species
AGAGUUUGAUCAUGGCUCAGAGUGAACGCUGGCGGCGUGCUUAACACAUGCAAGUCGAACGGAACCUUCGGGUUUAGUGGCGCACGGGUGAGUAAUGUAUAGCUAACAUGCCCUUUAGAGGGGGAUAACAGUUGGAAACGACUGCUAAUACCCCAUACUCCUUCUUACUUAAUGUAAGUUGGGAAAGUUUUUUCGCUAAAGGAUUGGGCUAUAUGGUAUCAGCUUGUUGGUGAGGUAAUGGCUCACCAAGGCUAUGACGCCUAACUGGUCUGAGAGGAUGAUCAGUCACACUGGAACUGAGACACGGUCCAGACUCCUACGGGAGGCAGCAGUGGGGAAUAUUACACAAUGGAGGAAACUCUGAUGUAGCAACGCCGCGUGGAGGAUGACACAUUUCGGUGCGUAAACUCCUUUUAUUAGGGAAGAUAAUGACGGUACCUAAUGAAUAAGCACCGGCUAACUCCGUGCCAGCAGCCGCGGUAAUACGGAGGGUGCAAGCGUUACUCGGAAUCACUGGGCGUAAAGCGCAUGUAGGCGGUCUUGUAAGUUGGGUGUGAAAGCCUAUGGCUCAACCAUAGAACUGCACCCAAAACUACUAGACUAGAGUCUGGGAGAGGAAAAUGGAAUUAGUUGUGUAGGGGUAAAAUCCGUAGAGAUAACUAGGAAUACCAAAAGCGAAGGCAAUUUUCUGGAACAGUACUGACGCUCAGAUGCGAAAGCGUGGGUAGCAAACAGGAUUAGAUACCCUGGUAGUCCACGCCCUAAACGAUGAAUGUUAGUCGUCGGGAGGCUCGUCCUUUCGGUGAUGCAGUUAACACAUUAAACAUUC